AAUAAAAUCAUAAUCCCUUAUAUAAGGAGCCAGACAGCAUGGCGAGUACCACAAUGGGCGUGAAACU
rnacentral:sRNA from 1 species